UUUUGUUUCUGCAGUCUACGGGAGCGUGGUCACGUGAGCUGCACCUCCCACGAGCCUGGGAGGACCGAGGUGGCGUGGCGGCCUCUAGGGGGAGCACGAGAGCACUGAGUCGUGGGCGGAGAGCGCGCGGCGCCUGUGCUCCGCGCAGCCCUGCGCGGUGGCGCUCGCGAAAUGCCCGGCCUCUAAGGCCUUUGGAGACCACAGUCUCCGCGGACCCCUGACUGGAGCCCAAAGCCGACCGAACUUCCUCCCCGCGUUUCCCCUACUGCCUCUCGGAGAGGAAGGUAGGAGAGCCCCCAAAUAUCAUUCCCCUCCCGCCCCCUAGGGAAACUGAGGCUGAAAGAGCCAGCGAGAGAGAGAAAAAAAAAAGUCGGGGAGGGGGGCGGCCCGAGCAACCUAAGGGACCGGGCAGCGCCAGCGACGGAGGGAAAUUAGUCGGGGUCGGGGAACAGGGAGACAAGCCUCCAGAAUUUAGGAAACUCCGAAGCUUGUAGCUGGAGUCCUGAAAUUGACUCAGAUGACAACUGCUCCAGAUCUGUGCCAGGAGCCACGCCCCCAGCUGCCUCGCCCGGAGGCAGGGGGGCCCUAAGACCUGUUGCGCGGAAUCCCCACUCGGAAAGCCUCGGUAAACUCCAGAAGGCGGCUACUGCAUGUUCCAAUCUCCUGCCACCUUCCCAGUGUCUCAGAGAAUAAGAUACAGAAAUGAAAAUGAAAAGAAAAUUUGGUACUACAGCACAAAGGUCCAGCUUGCAGAAUUAACUGACUGUCUAAACAAAGAUUAUUGGGAAGCAGAGAUCUACAAAAUUCGGGAAGAAAUGCGUGAAGAAAUCCACCGACACAUGGAUAUAACUGAAGACCUGACUGAUAAGGCUCGGGGCAGUAACAAAUCCUUUCUGGCAGAAGCUAAUGGCACAACGUCAAUGUGGUACUAGAAGAGGAGGGAUUCACAAGAAUUGAAAAUUGAAGGGGAAGAGAAGGGGUAACUAACAUUUUUGAGUGUCUGCUGUGGGCCAGGUGCUCAACGAGGUAUUUUACAAUUCUUUAAUUCUCUCAGCGUCUUUUCAAGGAGUAUAUUGUCAGUGAAUUGAACAUUCAGAUAGAAGAAUCCCCCAUUAAAACACCAGUCCCCCACCGUUACCUUUAUUUGUUCUCUCUGGUAACCAAAAUCUUGGCUAUGAUAGUUUAGGACCACCCAGUCCAGGUGAAUACCCAAAAUAAUAUCUAAUAGUGUUCUUUA